UACGAGGGGGGCGAGCGUUGUUCGGAAUUACUGGGCGUAAAGCGUGCGCAGGCGGUUGUGCAAGACCGAUGUGAAAUCCCCGGGCUUAACCUGGGAAUGGCAUUGGUGACUGCACGGCUAGAGUGUGUCAGAGGGGGGUAGAAUUCCACGUGUAGCAGUGAAAUGCGUAGAGAUGUGGAGGAAUACCGAUGGCGAAGGCAGCCCCCUGGGAUAACACUGACGCUCAUGCACGAAAGCGUGGGGAGCAAACAGG
rnacentral:rRNA from 1 species